UGUGCGGCGGCCGGCAGCGCUGCGCUGCGAUAGGCGGCGGCGGGCCAUGUUGGUGCUGCCGCCGCGGCCGCCGCUGCCGCUGCUGCUGCUGCUGCUGGCGCGGAGCCGCUGAAGCCCGGCGGAGGGGCUCGCCGGCUCUCGCACGCAGCGGCGGCGGCGGAGCGCGUCGCGUCGAGCGGAGCGAGCGGGGAGGAGGAGGAGGAGGAGAAGAAAGGAGGAGGAGGAGGAGGAGGAGGAGGAGGAGGAGGAGGAAGGGGAGGGGGGAUCUUCUCGGCGAGGAUGCCCGGAGCGGCUGCAGGGACGGCGGCGACAGGAGCAGGCUCGUCAGGAGCGGCAGCAGCGGGGAUGCUCCCGGCUCAGGAGGCGGCCAAGAUCUACCACACCAACUACGUGCGGAACUCGCGGGCCAUCGGCGUGCUCUGGGCCAUCUUCACCAUCUGCUUUGCCAUCGUCAACGUGGUGUGCUUCAUCCAGCCCUACUGGAUCGGGGACGGCGUGGACACCCCACAGGCGGGCUACUUCGGGCUCUUCCACUACUGCAUCGGCAACGGCUUCAGCCGGGAACUCACCUGCCGGGGCAGCUUCACGGACUUCUCCAGCCUGCCCUCGGGAGCCUUCAAAGCUGCUUCCUUCUUCAUCGGGCUCUCGAUGAUGCUCAUCAUCGCCUGCAUCGUCUGCUUCAUCCUAUUCUUCUUCUGCAACACAGCCACCGUCUACAAGAUCUGUGCCUGGAUGCAGCUGACCUCGGCUGCCUGUCUCGUCCUGGGUUGUAUGAUUUUUCCUGAUGGCUGGGAUUCAGAUGAGGUAAAACGGAUGUGUGGUGAAAAGACAGACAAGUACACGCUGGGGGCUUGUUCAGUCCGCUGGGCAUAUAUCCUGGCAAUUAUUGGAAUCUUGGAUGCCCUGAUCCUCUCAUUUCUGGCAUUUGUGCUUGGCAACAGACAAGACAGCUUGCUAGCAGAGGAGCUCAAGUUGGAAAACAAAGGCUGGAAUUUGUGAACUGGCCAGCUUUGACAGUUUGAGAUGAUGGAAAUGCUUAAAACAAGUUAAGUCCUACUAAGCCAAUCCUCACUAGAAUGAGCACAAAACAAAACGAAUAACAGCUUUUGUACAUCAACAUUAAAAUGGGAAGAAGCUUGGGAAAGGGCCUCCGACAGAGAAGAACGCUGACGAGUGCAAAAAUGCCUGAUGGGUAAGCGCCACCUUCUAAACAUAGAUCAGCCAGACGUGGAAGUGAUUUUCAGAAGAGAAAUGCAAUCAUGGAUUACACACCAGCUCAUUAGAAACUGUUGCUGAAUACAGCAUCCAGAAGACAUGCAUGAAAAGUCACAUUUGGGGAAUAAAUUAAAAGGGGUGUAGUUGUUGCUAUAUAAACAUAUGUAAUAUAUAUGCAUUCAAGAGGUUUGUAAAUGUCAUUUUUUUUAUUCGGACGGAAAGCAAAAAGCUUUAAAACCUUUCACAGUAGAGAGGCAGUUAACACUAGACUAUUCCUAUCCCAGUAGCCAAGAAGCUGAUAGGACAUUUCUCUUAAAUUAGCAUUUAUAAAUAGACUCUCUGAAUGUUUCCAUCACCUAGUGGAAAAAGCAUAACUUUUACCGCUACAUUGCUGCACUUCAUUUACUUCACUGUAUAAUAAGUUGAUUAAAACUGUAAAGCUUCUCAAUUUUUACUGCAUAUGUGUUCCAAUUAAUCUAUGUCUGUAACAAACUUAAGACUGAAAAAUUAUUUCUGACUUAUAUUCUAGUUCUAUGAAGCAUAUAUACUAUAAGAUAUGUCUGACUGAAUAUCAUAAUACUAUAAUUUCCCAAGACACAUAGAAUCAUUUGUAUUUAAAGUUACAAAAUAAAAGCACUUGAUUUCUUUUUUAAUGGGAGAAAGUCAUUUACCCCUUAAAUGUAACAUACAGCUGCUCACCACAAGGGCGUUUCUAUUCUUUUCCUUGUUCUGCCAUAUAACCGCUGAGUGACACUCUGGCCUGUGCUAAUGCCAGUCAGGUGAGGUGAUCUAAUGAUACCUUCUGGCCUUAAACUCAAUACAUAAAUUAAGAGACUAAUAAGCAAAUACACAUUGCAAAUAGCUAUGGGAGGGCUGGGUGCAUGGAGCCCCGGGGCACUGGUGGGGCUGCUGUUUCCCUCUGUGGGGGCUCGGCAGGUCACUCCCCAAAGGGCACCCUCAUUUCCAGAAGCCACUGAGCAGUAAAACGGGGAGUCACAGGAUAUCAAGAAAGACCUCACAGUGAAAGGCCUGAAUGCCAAGUGCCAGGCACAGAGCAACGGAGGGAAGCAAGGACCCUCUGCUCCUCUCCAGUACCCUGCAGAGCGGCACGCAUCUCCUGGCUCAGGAGCGGGCAGGAGCAUACUGCUCCUUACAUUUCUUCCAUCCUCUUCUGCAUGUCGCAGCUGAAUCCAACCCAAAAUGAGGAUUGCAAAGCUAAUUUCUUCAGAUUUUUUUAAGCCUGUUGCUUCAUUCUUUGGCUUUCAGGGGAAAUGGCUAAAAUAAUAAUUUGUUGCUAAUAUUGAUCCCAAAUAACAUACUGAAGACAUGAGUAAAACACGAGUUAAAACUGUUUUUUGACUAUUGGCUGUACAACACAAAUUAUUCCAGAAUUUAGUGCAUGGAUCUCAGAAAAUUUUAUUUUUGAACGAAAAAUUAGCUUUAAGCGAACUGUCAAUAAAUAAAUAAGUACAGGGAAUUAGGUAACUCUUCUAUCUAAUUACCAAGGUGCCGAUGUGGCACUUCUUAUCUUAGAGACUGAACGCUGAUGUGGAUGUCUGCCAAGUAAAUUUAUGUGUGAAUCCAGGCAGCAUUACUAAAAAUAAAAAAACAUGUUGUUUUAAACUAAAUCCAUUCUUAUAACUGCAUGUAGGAGACUCCCCUAACUUCUACAGGAAUAGUGUUAGAGCUGGUCAAAAACCCCACCCACAUCAAUAAACCACCAUAAAUAUAUUCCCAGUACUUGCUACUGACUUGAAGGGGAUGGAAGGUAAAAAUCAAGUGGUUUACACAUGAGGCUACAUAAAGUCAUUAAGGUCCCACUUCAGACAGCUUUUUAAGUCUGUGAUUAAUCCAACCAGUGUCAGCUGAAAAAUGCAUAUCCUUAAGGGCCAGAUGCAUUCAGGAGUCACUGCUCAGUAGUGUCUUGGUGAAGCCCAUUCUCACUCACUGCUCCUGUGGGCUCACAGCCACACUCUCACCUCAGAAGCCUGUGAAAGGGUUUGCUCUCUGGAUGUGCUAUCGUAUCACCAUCUUCAUUUCCUCCUUAGGUUUACCUCUGUCCCACAUUAUGGCAAUCAUGGCACUUUUGCUGCGACAAAAAAAUCAGAAAUCACCAAAACAGAGUUUCUCUGUAUUAUAUUAUUUUGUUAUGGACUACUAAGUUUUGCAUCAUGGUGACUGUGUAAUCUAAAAGCCCUUUCUAAAUAUACUCAAAUGUUGCAAAAAAAGUGUCAUCACAAGACCUCACAACCCUGCCAGGGCAGCUCAGUGAAUAUGUACCAUUUGUACACAGUCAGAAGGAGAGGCAUACCAGGAUGUACAUCACUGAAUGUUGACUCAGUAUAAAUAGUAUGGUUUAUUUUUUAAAAUGUUACCGCUUUCCCAUCCUACUCCAUUGUAAUUUGUCAAUUGUAAUUUUUUUUUAAGUCAACAAACUGUAAAGAAAACUGUUGAAAUACCUGAUUUUCUGUAAAAAUUAAUAACAAUAAUUUUUGUUACUUUAAAGUAUGCUUGGUAUUAAAGAACCUAAUAAAGUUCAACAAUUAAUUUUGUAGCAUACUAAAA